CGUGUAGGCGGCCAGGUAAGUCGGAUGUGAAAGUCCCGGGCUCAACCCGGGAAGUGCAUUCGAAACUGCUUGGCUAGAGUAAGAGAAAGGAAAGUGGAAUUCCUGGUGUAGAGGUGAAAUUCGUAGAUAUCAGGAGGAACACCGGUGGCGAAGGCGGCUUUCUGGCUCUAUACUGACGCUGAGACGCGAAAGCGUGGGUAGCAAACAGGAUUAGAUACCCUGGUAGUCC
rnacentral:rRNA from 1 species